GCAAAAUGAUUUAUUUUGCAAAAGCUAGACUUCUUACAGGUCACUAACAUUUUGUACUGUGUCAGCUAGAGGUGAAGAUUGAAUCUGGCUGACUGGUGAAGCUGAAAUUUUUACCGUAGUUACCCUGCCAUUUUCAAAUGGCCGUGUUUCACAGAAUUUCCGAAAAUCCCCAACAAUGUAUAGACUUCUUUAUAAGUUUCUGGUUGAAAUUAACCUCUAACAAAUUUGCAAUAGCACAAAAAGGCAUUUUUCCUGUCUAUUCUUUGAAUUUAAUUUUCAACAUUCUUAUUAUUUGAGUGCUCUUUUAUGUGGGUCAACAUCUACUGUAUAUGACAUAGAAUUUGUGAAGCUCGGUAACUGUCAAGGCAACAGAGAAUUUUCUCCGUUUCAGCAGAGAAUUUGACAAAUGCAUCAGGGCAACACUGGCUGACAUAGCUAUCCAGCAUUUGCAGCAUACUUUGCAAAUCCCUUAUGAAAAUUUCUUGCAAUUUGCAAUGCCAGCAAAUGGAGCAAUCGCCCGCCCACUUCUCACCUGGACAACAUUUUUUAAAAAUUGUUGUAAAAACAAACAACUUGCGUCGACGUCCAAAUGGAAAUGCAAAUGCCAGGCAUUGGAGCUCUCCGUGCCGGCUCUAUCGCCAGGCAAACAACAAGAUGACUGCGAGCAAACUCAUUGAAUCGACUGAUUUGCUGCUGGCAAAUAUUUUUCAGAGUUAACAAACAGAAUUCCUGGCAUGGACAUAUUUUUUGACACUUCGGGCUACUGGCAACUGGACGUUUACAAUUUUUGCUUGGCGCCAUGGCAAUCAGAAUUUCAAACAGCUUUUUCAUUUAACGUUUAAGAUUUGAUAAUUUUGCUGGAACUACAUGAACCUGGUGCACGUUUAAGUUAGUUUGCUCAAUAUUUUGUCUCGUGACUGACUGACUAAUUGGUGAUCAACGCACAGCCCAAACCGUAAGAGCUAGGAAGCUGAAAUUUUCACUUUUAUGUGAUGUUGGUGCACGUUAAGACGGGGUUUCGGGAAAUUCGACCCGCAAGUGUGGAAAAAUAACUUUUUUGUUAACUUUCAAAGAUCAUUGUUCAAAUUCAUUAAGGGGUGUUUCACACUUUUUGGAAAAUCCAUCCCUCCUUGGUGCAAAUGGGGGUCGAAGAUUUGGUGGGUGACGUUUCGCGCUCAAAUUCAUUUCCAGAGAUCUAUAAGAAAAAUCAUUUGAGACGUGUUUCACACUUUUCGCAGAAUCCAAACUUUUUCUGGUGGAAUGCGACUCAAAUAUUUUUGUGCGAUGUUUUAAGUUGUGUCCGAUUUGCUUCAAACUUAUUUUUAAAGCUCUACAUAAGAAUAUAAUGAAUACGUGUUUCAGAGAUGUGGCGGAAAUCGUUUGUAUGAAACUUGUUUGUUUACGAUCCGAUCGGCCCCAAACUUAUUUUCAAAGAUCUUUGUUCAAAUUCAUUUGGGGGGUGUUUCACACUUUUCGAAAAAUCCGUUCCUCCUUGGUGGAAAUGGAGGUCAAAAAUUUGGUGGGUGACGUUUCGCGCUCAAAUUCGUUUCCAAAGAUCUAUAAGAAAAAUCAUUUGAGACGUGUUUCACACUUUUCGCAGAAUCCAAACUUUUUCGGGUGGAAUGACACUCAAAGAUUUUUUGUGCGAAGUUUUAAGUUGUGUCGGAUUUACUUCAAACUUAUUUUCAAAGCUCUACAUAAGAACUUAAUGAAUACGUAUUUCAGCGAUUUGGGAAAUUCCACCCGCAACAGUGGUAAAUUGGCGGAAACGGUUGUAUGAAAGUUUUUUGUUUACCAUCCGAUCGGCCCCAAACUAAUUUUCAAAGAUCUUUGUUCAAAUUCAUUUGAGGGGUGUUCCACACUUUUUGA